UACGGGGGGGGCAAGCGUUGUUCGGAAUUACUGGGCGUAAAGGGCUCGUAGGUGGCCAACUAAGUCAGACGUGAAAUCCCUCGGCUUAACCGGGGAACUGCGUCUGAUACUGGAUGGCUCGAGUUCGGGAGAGGGAUGCGGAAUUCCAGGUGUAGCGGUGAAAUGCGUAGAUAUCUGGAGGAACACCGGUGGCGAAGGCGGCAUCCUGGACCGACACUGACGCUGAGGAGCGAAAGCCAGGGGAGCAAACGGG
rnacentral:rRNA from 1 species